rnacentral:tRNA from 1 species
GGUUGCGUUGGUCGACCGGGUGGAUUGCGGGACUCUGUAGAAGUUCCGACAGUGCCUUGGCUCGCGAGUCGCUCGCGUCCACUCGCUCCCA